rnacentral:rRNA from 1 species
UACGGAGGGGACUAGCGUUGUUCGGAAUUAUUGGGCGUAAAGCGCUCGUAGGCGGUUUUGUAAGUCAGGGGUGAAAUCCCGGGGCUCAACCUCGGAACUGCCUUUGAUACUGCAAAUCUCGAGUCCGGAAGAGGUGAGUGGAAUUCCUAGUGUAGAGGUGAAAUUCGUAGAUAUUAGGAAGAACACCAGUGGCGAAGGCGGCUCACUGGGCCGAUACUGACGCUGAGGUGCGAAAGCGUGGGGAGCAAACAGG